rnacentral:rRNA from 1 species
AAUGGGCGAAAGCCUGACGCAGCAACGCCGCGUGCGGGACGAAGGCCCUCGGGUUGUAAACCGCUUUCAGUAGGAACGAAACUGACGGUACCUGCAGAAGAAGGUGCGGCCAACUACGUGCCAGCAGCCGCGGUGACACGUAGGCACCAAGCGUUGUCCGGAUUUAUUGGGCGUAAAGAGCUCGUAGGCGGUUCAGUAAGUCGGGUGUGAAAACUCUGGGCUUAACCCAGAGACGCCACCCGAUACUGCUGUGACUAGAGUGCGGUAGGGGAGUGGGGAAUUCCUGGUGUAGCGGUGAAAUGCGCAGAUAUCAGGAGGAACACCGGUGGCGAAGGCGCCACUCUGGGCCGUAACUGACGCUGAGGAGCGAAAGCGUGGGUAGCAAA